rnacentral:snRNA from 1 species
AUAUACUAACUCGAUAACCCUGA